AGAGAGACCUACAAUUAUGGCCUUGAGCAGAGAGUUUUGAGAAAUGUGACAAAUGGGAGAGGGGAAGAGACCCAACCUCAGCUGCUUCAGGGAUAUGAUUUUCCAGAGUUCUGCUAAAAACCCACCCACUCUUCCUAGAAGACUACACCACAGGCACUGAGACUGUAAGAAAAAUGGCACUUAACCCUAGCUGUUGACAGACUGAUGGAUGGAUCCACUCACACAACACAUUAGGUAUACUGAGGAAUUAGCUGAAAAAAUGGCAACAAUUCAAAAGUGAAUGCCACAUGUCACCAACAAGAUUGAAGAUGCUGUUUGAGACACGCCAAAGCACUCAAACUCCACCCUGCUAAACUGGGAAAGACACAAUCCAGAUUGAGGCUUAAGAGGAAGACUGUCUCCAUACAAACUCUUCAUUCCCAGCAGAACAGAGUAGACAUGGGUAAUAGAAUUUUCAGCAAACUUUUACUAACCACUCCUCGCAGACGGAGAAGAAACUGGAGUUUUUACUGGAGCUGGUUCUUUUUCAGGAAGUGGUGUAUGAGGUGGUGUAGCCAAUGGAGUAGACACCACAGACUCCUGAAAAAAAAUAAAAGAAGAAAAAG